GCCUCCGUAGCUUAACGGAUAAAGUGCCUGUCUUCGGAACAGGUGAUAGAGGUUCGAUUCCUCUCGGAGGCG
rnacentral:tRNA from 1 species